CCUACGGGAGGCAGCAGUAGGGAAUCUUCCGCAAUGGACGAAAGUCUGACGGAGCAACGCCGCGUGAGUGAUGAAGGCUUUCGGGUCGUAAAACUCUGUUGUUAGGGAAGAACAAGUACGAGAGUAACUGCUCGUACCUUGACGGUACCUAACCAGAAAGCCACGGCUAACUACGUGCCAGCAGCCGCGGUAAUACGUAGGUGGCAAGCGUUAUCCGGAAUUAUUGGGCGUAAAGCGCGCGCAGGCGGUUUCUUAAGUCUGAUGUGAAAGCCCACGGCUCUAACCGUGGAGGGUCAUUGGAAACUGGGGAACUUGAGUGCAGAAGAGAAAAGCGGAAUUCCACGUGUAGCGGUGAAAUGCGUAGAGAUGUGGAGGAACACCAGUGGCGAAGGCGGCUUUUUGGUCUGUAACUGACGCUGAGGCGCGAAAGCGUGGGGAGCACACAGGAUUAGAUACCCUGGUAGUCCACGCCGUAAACGAUGAGUGCUAAGUGUUAGAGGGUUUCCGACCCUUUAGUGCUGCAGCUAACGCAUUAAGCACUCCGCCUGGGGGAGUACGGUCGCAAGACUGAAACUCAAAGGAAUUGACGGGGGCCCGCCACAAGCCGGUUGGAGCAAUGUGGUUUAAUUUGAAGCAACGCGAAGAACCUUAC
rnacentral:rRNA from 1 species